CCCGAUCGCCCCAGCGGGGCGCCUCCGAGAAGGUCCUUUCCGGGGCUUGAGGUUUUUUGCCUUCGCCCUCCCUCCCUCCGAGGAUUCAUUACACAUUCAUGGCACCGCGGAGGAAGGAGCCCAAGCCCACUUGUCGAUGGAUGUCCAGAAUCAGCAGCAUCCACCGCGGUCCUUUUUAUCCUAGGCGACGACCGAGCCAGUAUAGACUUCGUUUUGGUUUGAUUCUCCAUAAUGCUAAUGGGUUAGGUGCUCUUAGUUCUGCUCCUCAGCUGAGGCCUCUCUGGCUUGGUUGGACCUGCCGGUAGUUACACUACCACCAGCACAGCUCUCAGUCAUCAUUGGAGCAGUUAAGCCCCCCCACCACGUUAAGGUGGCACCUGGAGGGGGGGGAGAAGGAGACAGAAGGCCUGAUCCUUGAAAGCCAGGCGCAAGCCAUCAGAACAAAUGCAAUUAAGGCCAAGAUCGAAAAAUCAGCUGAUGACCCAAAAUGCAAACUGUGCAAGGAAACCGACGAAACCAUUGAUCAUAUCCUCAGCUGCUGUAAGAAAAUCACACAGACAGACUACAAACAGAGGCACAACUAUGUGGCCCAAAUGAUUCAUUGGAACUUAUGCCUGAAGUACCACCUUCCAGCAGUAAAGAACUGGUGGGAUCACAAACCCGCAAAAGUAUUGGAAAAUGAGCACGCAAAGAUACUGUGGGAUUUCCAAAUCCAGACUGACAAAGUUCUGGAACACAACACACCAGACAUCACAGUUGUGGGAAAAAAAAAGUUUUGGAUCAUUGAUGUCUCCAUCCCAGGCGAAUUGAUGAAACUCGAAUGGAUGAAAAACAACAGGAAAAACUCAGCCGCUAUCAGGACCUCAAGAUUGAACUUCAAAGACUGGCAGAAACCAGUGCAGGUGGUCCCGCUGGUGAUCGGCACAUUGGGUGCCGUGCCAAAAGAUCUCAGCCGGCAUUUGGAAACAAUAGACAUUGACAAAAUUACAGUCUGUCAACUGCAAAAGGCCACCCUGCUGGGAUCUGCGCGCAUCAUCCGAAAAUACAUCACACUGUCUUAGACACUUGGGAAGUGUUCAACUUGUGAUUUUUUGAUACGAAAUCCAGCAUAUCUAUCUUGUUUGCUGUGUCAUAAUAAAAUAAUAAUAACUUUA